rnacentral:rRNA from 1 species
AUUGAACGCUGGCGGCAUGCCUUACACAUGCAAGUCGAACGGCAGCAUGGAGAGCUUGCUCUCUGAUGGCGAGUGGCGAACGGGUGAGUAAUGCAUCGGAACGUACCGUGUAAUGGGGGAUAACGUAGCGAAAGUUACGCUAAUACCGCAUACGAUCUACGGAUGAAAGCGGGGGAUCGCAAGACCUCGCGCGAUUGGAGCGGCCGAUAUCAGAUUAGGUAGUUGGUGGGGUAAAGGCCUACCAAGCCGACGAUCCUUAGCUGGUCUGAGAGGAUGAUCAGCCACACUGGGACUGAGACACGGCCCCAGACUCCUACGGGAGGCAGCAGUGGGGAAUAUUGGACAAUGGGCGAAAGCCUGAUCCAGCCAUGCCGCGUGUGUGAAGAAGGUCUUCGGAUUGUAAAGCACUUUAAGUUGGGAGGAAGGGCAGUAACCUAAUACGUUAUUGUUUUGACGUUACCGACAGAAUAAGCACCGGCUAACUUCGUG